rnacentral:sRNA from 1 species
AAAUACUUACACAAACCUAUAUAAUCUAGACUCUACUUCACUUGUUUGCCCUAAACCAUCUAUCAUCUCUCUUUCAAUUCAUCUACACCUUAUUUUUAUAUUUCUCAAAUACUUUUCGAGAAAAUUAUAUACCCUUUUUAAUAUACGACGAAUGAAAUCGCAGGAAGAUAAUCUUCUACUUGUUCUUCUACUCGAGGGGAUAAAAAAUUACGGACUUAAGAGAUGGGAUAAGAUACUAGCAUCACUUCUUCUAUCCCAGCGAAGUAUCGCUAAAUGUAAAAAAAAAUUCUAAUCUUUCGUUAAACGAAAGGUAAAUUAUUUUCUCGAAAAAAUUUGUGUAUAGAAUUAAAGGUUUUCUUUAGUCAAUAGCUAAUCAAUCUUAUCAUUUAUUUUCUACUAGUUUCUUAUUUGCACAAUACAUUUGAGAAAAUU